GCAGAGAACCACACACACACACCUGAGACGCCCCCGCCCGCCCGCCCCAGAGCAGAGAGCUGUCCUAGACGGCUUCGGCCCGUGUUGACCGGGAUAGACCCCUCGAAGGCGAGGAAGGCUACCGGACCUGGAGAGACCGCGCGCUCAGGAGAGGCAACCCCCUUUUCUUGGCUACCGGAAGAAUCACUUGCUAUAUAAGGACCUUGGACAAAGAGUGAGACCCUAGUCCGGAACGACAGGUAGUGAUGAUCCAGGGACUUCCUCAGUCCCUUAGCAAUUUUGCUUUCUCAUUGUUUUUUUUUUUUUUGCUGCCCCUUUAAUGUCAAAGACCAGUCCUCUGGGGAAGCAGGCCGUGUUACCUGCCUCCACAUUAUUGGUUUAGAGUGUUGGGC
rnacentral:lncRNA from 1 species